AUCAGGUUGUUAAAUUUACAAAAAAUCAAAUGUGCCUUUAUCUUACUUUUAUUGUGAAUAUGUUUAGAUUUUGCCAUACAGUUGACUAUGGUGUGGUAUAGAUGUUUAUUUUUAUUAUGCCCCAUUUAUGGGCAUUUUGUUUUCUUGUCCGUCUGUCCGUCGUACCGUUCAUCUGUCCGUGCGUUCGUCCGUCCGUCCGUUCGUCCGUCCGUCCGUUCGUCCCACUUCAGGUUAAAGAUUUUGGUCGAGGUAGUUUUUGAUGAAGUUGAAAUCCAAUCAACUUGAAACUUAGUACACAUGUUCCCUAUGAUAUGAUCUUUCUAAUUUUAAUGCCAAAUUAGAGAUUUCCCCCCAUUUUCACGGUCCACUGAACAUAGAAAAUGAUAGUGC
rnacentral:lncRNA from 1 species